rnacentral:rRNA from 1 species
GAAGGUGGCAAGCGUUGUUCGGAUUUACUGGGCGUAAAGGGAGCGUAGGUGGUCGGGUAAGCCCCGCGGGAAAGCUCCAGGCUUAACCUGGAAAGGUCGCGGGGGACUGCGCGGCUGGAGGACGGGAGAGGAGCGCGGAAUUCCCGGUGUAGCGGUGAAAUGCGUAGAGAUCGGGAGGAAGGCCGGUGGCGAAGGCGGCGCUCUGGAACGGCCCUGACACUGAGGCUCGAAAGCGUGGGGAGCAAACAGGAUUAGAUACCCUGGUAGUCCACGCCCUAAACGAUGGACACUACGUGCCGGCGGGUCUCCGCCGGUGCCGCAGCUAACGCAGUAAGUGUCCCGCCUGGGGAGUACGGCCGCAAGGUUGAA